GAUCCUCUAUUCUCCAUCAUAGGAUGCGGUGCACUAUACAUACCGUUUAUCACACGAUGGAUAAUCGCACACAAACUGCAUGUGGAGAUAGGCCGUGCGAUAGAUGUCAUGCAUGUCAUGUGCAACUGUCUAUCGUAUGAUGAUUGUUAUACAUGAUAUAUUAUAUCAUAUUGCAUAGAACUCAUGCUCCGAAAUGAUACCAUGCUUCGUAUUUAUAGAAGGCCAACGUGCAAAAUCGCACUAGCUACUGC
rnacentral:lncRNA from 1 species